rnacentral:rRNA from 1 species
GAUGAACGCUGGCGGCGUGCCUAAUACAUGCAAGUCGAGCGAACGGACGAGAAGCUUGCUUCUCUGAUGUUAGCGGCGGACGGGUGAGUAACACGUGGAUAACCUACCUAUAAGACUGGGAUAACUUCGGGAAACCGUAGCUAAUACCGGAUAAUAUUUUGAACCGCAUGGUUCAAAAGUGAAAGACGGUCUUGCUGUCACUUAUAGAUGGAUCCGCGCUGCAUUAGCUAGUUGGUAAGGUAACGGCUUACCAAGGCAACGAUGCAUAGCCGACCUGAGAGGGUGAUCGGCCACACUGGAACUGAGACACGGUCCAGACUCCUACGGGAGGCAGCAGUAGGGAAUCUUCCGCAAUGGGCGAAAGCCUGACGGAGCAACGCCGCGUGAGUGAUGAAGGUCUUCGGAUCGUAAAACUCUGUUAUUAGGGAAGAACAUAUGUGUAAGUAACUGUGCACAUCUUGACGGUACCUAAUCAGAAAGCCACGGCUAACUCCGUG